CACGGGGGGAAACGCGAAGAACCUUACCAACCCUUGACAUGGGACGUAUGGGCUUCAGAGAUGGGGUCCUUCAGCUCGGCUGGCGUCCACACAGGUGCUGCAUGGCUGUCGUCAGCUCGUGUCGUGAGAUGUUGGGUUAAGUCCCGCAACGAGCGCAGCCCCUAUCUUCAGUUGCCAUCAUUCAGUUGGGCACUCUGAAGAAACUGCCGGUGACAAGCCGGAGGAAGGCGGGGAUGACGUCAAGUCCUCAUGGCCCUUACGGGUUGGGCUACACACGUGCUACAAUGGUGGUGACAAUGGGGAGCGAGGCGGCGACGCCAAGCCAAUCUCAAAAAGCCAUCUCAGUUCGGAUUGCACUCUGCAACUCGAGUGCAUGAAGUUGGAAUCGCUAGUAAUCGUGGAUCAGCAUGCCACGGUGAAUACGUUCCCGGGUCUUGUACACACGC
rnacentral:rRNA from 1 species